rnacentral:rRNA from 1 species
UAAUACGAAGGGGGCGAGCGUUGUUCGGAUUUACUGGGCGUAAAGGGCGCGCAGGCGGUCAUUUUUGUCGAGUGUGAAAGCCCCGGGCUUAACCUGGGAACUGCGCUCGAAACGGGAUGACUAGAGAUCGGGAGAGGAGAGUGGAAUUCCCAGUGUAGAGGUGAAAUUCGUAGAUAUUGGGAAGAACACCGGUGGCGAAGGCGGCUCUCUGGACCGAUACUGACGCUGAGGCGCGAAAGCGUGGGGAGCAAACAGGAUUAGAUACCCUGGUAGUCCACGCUGUAAACGAUGUGUGCUAGACGUUGGGGAGCCUAGCUCUUCGGUGUCGCAGCUAACGCGGUAAGCACACCGCCUGGGGAGUACGGCCGCAAGGUUA